AGAUGUUCUCUAUGAAGAAUCUUCUUUAAUUACAAGUCUGUCAAAAAGAGAAAUCUUCAAGUGUCUCAAGCCUCAAAUCUGCGAAUGGCUUCAGCCCUGGGCAAGAAAUCACCCCUUUCCUGAGCAGCCCCAGUGCCCUUUCUCAGCUCUUGUCAUGUCAUCCCUGCAGCUGCACCAAUAAACUGGGCAUUUUUGGAGUUUAGUUUUCAGAUGAGCCCGCUUCAAAUCAAUGGAGCUGCUGCUUUUCGUGACUCCUGGGAAUAAGAUGGCGUGGAAACAACCCACGGCCAUGCCCAAAUAAGAAAACUAAAAGAAUUAUUGGUUUUGGUCAACCUGGAACAUGGCUCUUUUUGC
rnacentral:lncRNA from 1 species